rnacentral:sRNA from 1 species
AAUACUUUUAAUGAAAAAAACCUUCAACUUUAGCCAGAUCCAUUUUUAAACCCUAAACUAUGUUUUUAGUAAAACAAACCCUGAACUAAAACCUGUUACUAAACUUAACCCCACAGUAAUUAAAUAUUAAUGAGAUAUUAAUUUCCAAAAAAAACAACAACGAGACAUUUGUAUUUAGCGCAAAAACCACAUGAUGUUCUUUAAAACUGUUUUGAAUUUAUUACAAAAAACGUUUUAAAUUAUUUUGAAUUGCUUAAUUAGUUUGGAUUUUAGAAGCUGAAAGAAAGACACAACAAUUUAAAUAAUCCAAAGAAUCAUGCUUAAAUAAAUCCAACCAACAUAACUAUCGAAGCUGUUGCAACACAACAAUAUUUGUCACACAAAAAAACAAUCGUUUCAGAGGGACAAGAUAUUCUAAAGUAAAGACUUGUCAAGCAUUAACUUUGAAGAGAAGAUUGUAUUGGCUGAGUGAUAGGGUUCUCUUCAUCCAUUGUUUUCUGUUUUUUCCUUGGUCGUCCUUGAGGUUUCUUGGGUGGUUUUGGCACUGCUUUACGCUUGCAUGAACGUUUGUUGUGUCCGACUUGUUGACAGUUGCUGCAAGUCUAAAUAUGCAAAGAUUAAAUUAAAUAAUCUGAAAAGGAAGAUCUUGUGAAACAUAAUUUAUUGUUCUCUAUUUUACCAUUUGAAUUUUUUCACGUGUAUAAGGAACUUUUUGAGGUGGACGAUCUUCAGUUGGAUCACGGAUUCUGUCAUUGUUCUUUGGUCGAUUUUUGGAAAUUAAUAUCCCAUUAAUAUUUAAUUACUGUAGGGUUAAGUUUAUUAACAGGUUUUAGUUCAGGGUUUGUUUUACUAAAAACAUAGUUCAGGGUUUAAAAAUGGAUCUGGCCAAAGUUGAGGGUUUUUUUCAUUAAAUUCCGUACUUUUAAUUAAGGUAUCUAAUAUCAUCUCCGCUAUUAAGUAUUUUAGGAUUUGAUUACAAAACUCUUGAUGUUAAACUA